ACGUUUUUUGGAUGUCGAGUUCAUUAAAAAUAUUAGUAUAUCGUUAUAUUCUCCUGUUGUGUUUCAUAAUGCAACGCUCAAAUCCUCAUUGAUGACGCGCAACGGCCAGUUAGCCAGUAAAAACGAGUUUCAGGUGGAAUUUACGGGGUUAUUUCUACCAAUCAACUUGUUUAAAGCUUCCCUUUUACUUUCAAAUGAAUUCCAAAAAACUUUGCGUAUUUAUUACGAAGAUUGCCCAAAAACGGGAUUUCUAAAUAUGAAC